rnacentral:rRNA from 1 species
AUUGAACGCUGGCGGCAGGCCUAACACAUGCAAGUCGAGCGAGCGGCGGACGGGUGAGUAAUGUUUGGGGACUGCACGAUCGAGGGGGAUAACUCCUGGAAACGCUAGCUAAUACCGCAUACUAUCGGAUAACCCAUAUGGGAUUAGCUAGUAGGUGAGGUAAUGGCUCACCUCGGCGACGAUCCCUAGCGUGUCGGAGAGGAGGAUCAGCCACACUGGGACUGAGACACGGCCCAGACUCCUACGGAGGCAGCAGUGGGGAAUAUUGCACAAUGGGCGCAAGCCUGAUUCAGCCAUGCCGCGUGUAUGAAGAAGGCCCUAGGGUUGUAAAGUACUUGCAGUCGGGAGGCGGUACCGACAGAAGAAGCACCGGCUAACUCCGUGCCAGCAGCCGCGGUAAUUC